AGUAGUGCACUAUGUAGGGAAUAUGGUGCCAUUUGGGGCCUAGUCAGAAUCAUCUGUCAUGUCGUGUACUGUGUGUUUGACACCAUAUUGUUAUUAGGUUGUGUCCUCCUCCAUCAAAUCCUUAACCUCGUUGCCAGGUUCAAACCAGCUCUCCUCUCUGUCCUGAAUAUUCUGUUCUGGUCCUUGGUCUUUCACAAAGCAGAGGGCUGUUUUUAUUUCCUGUUAAGAAAACUACUAAAGCAUUUUGACAAUCCAUUAAAACCUAGAUUUACUAUGAUAGGAACCUGAUUGUCUAACAUUAUAUUAACAGUGUUGUACUCUUGUUUUUUACAUAUUACUUAUGAUUAUUAAGUUUAAUUUCUGCUUGAAGAAAAUAAAACAAGUUUACUAUCUUAUUUAUUUAUCCUUUAUUUAACCAGGUAGACCAGUUGAGAACAACUCAUUUACAACUGAGACCUGGCCAAGAUAAAGCAAAGCAGUGCGACACAAACAACAACACAGAGUUACACAUGGAGUAAACAAACAUACAGUCAAUAAUACAGUAGAAAAGCUUCUCCUGUGCUUUUAUUUUGAAGAUUAAAACAAACAAUGGUUACAGUACGUCUCCUCGGCAGAAAACAAUACAAUCAUGUCAGACUAGAGUAUGUUAAACUACAAUUUCCAUGGAAAGAUCUCAGGUUUAUUUCACUCAAUAGUAGAAGGUUACAUGAAUGAUGCAUCGGACGUAAUCAUGAUCUGCCUAAGAACAGGUCUGUAUGGAGGAAUGUAAUCAGGAUCUGCCUAAGAACAGGUCUGUAUUGAGGAAUGUAAUCAUGAUCUGCCUAAGAACAGGUCUGUAUUGAGGAAUGUAAUCAUGAUCUGCCUAAGAACAGGUCUGUAUUGAGGAAUGUAAUCAGGAUCUGCCUAAGAACAGGUCUGUAUUGAGGAAUGUAAUCAUGAUCUGCCUAAGAACAGGUCUGUAUUGAGGAAUGUAAUCAUGAUCUGCCUAAGAACAGGUCUGUAUUGAGGAAUGUAAUCAUGAUCUGCCUAAGAACAGGUCUGUAUGGAGGAAUGUAAUCAUGAUCUGCCUAAGAACAGGUCUGUAUUGAGGAAUGUAAUCAUGAUCUGCCUAAGAACAGGUCUGUAUUGAGGAAUGUAAUCAGGAUCUGCCUAAGAACAGGUCUGUAUGGAGGAAUGUAAUCAUGAUCUGCCUAAGAACAGGUCUGUAUGGAGGAAUGUAAUCAUGAUCUGCCUAAGAACAGGUCUGUAUUGAGGAAUGUAAUCAUGAUCUGCCUAAGAACAGGUCUGUAUUGAGGAAUGUAAUC
rnacentral:lncRNA from 13 species